CCUACUGAAGCCUUUCCUUUUGAGAUUUUCAAACAGGCUUUUGUUGCAAUUCAGUCUUGUGUGGUGCACUUGCAGAAAGUCAGCUUGGCUCGGAGAUUUGCUUUGGUUCCUCUUGGACCCCCUUUGCUAGCUUACAGGAGCAACUGCAAGGCAAUGUUAAGUGCGGUUGAUGGUGCUGUUGAACUAGUGGUGGAUCGCCCAUACAGUGGGCCACAACCUAAUUCAAAACUGCUUAUAAACUAUGGUUUUGUUGAUGAAGAUAAUCGUUAUGACCGUAUUGUGGUAGAGGCAGCACUCAACACUGAGGAUCCUCAAUAUCAAGACAAGAGAAUGGUUGCUCAAAGAAAUGGCAGACUCUCAGUACAAGUUUUUCAAAUAUAUGUAGGAAAGGAGAGAGAAGCUAUCUCAGAUGUGCUUCCUUAUUUGCGAUUGGGCUAUGUAUCGGAUCCUUCUGAGAUGCAAACUGUUAUUUGUUCUCAAGGUCCAAUUUGUCCAGUGAGCCCUUGUAUGGAACAAGCUGUGUUGGAUCAGCUUGUGGAUUAUUUCACAAGACGCCUGGAUGGCUAUCCCACUAGCUUGAGUGAAGAUGAAUUGAUGUUGGCAGAUCAUAACUUGAACUCUAAAAAACGAGUUGCUACUCAGCUGGUUAGAUUGGAAAAGAAAAUUCUAAAUGCUUGCUUGCAAGCGACAAUUGAUCUGAUAAACCAGCUACCUGAUCAUACUGUCUCUCCAUGCCCAGCUCCUUAUGCCCCUAUAUUGAAAUGAAGAAAAGAUAUCAUUUAUUGCCAUGCG
rnacentral:misc_RNA from 1 species